rnacentral:snRNA from 1 species
AUCUCUUUGCCUUUUGGCUUAGAUCAAGUGUAGUAUCUGUUCUUUUCAGUGUAACAACUGGAAUGUUCUCAUUGAGAACUUUUAUAUUGUUACCUUUAUUUUUGGAUUACGGUGAUGGUUUCUUAAUGGGCUUGCUCAUUGAUUCUUGUCACAUAGUGUCGUUGCCAUUGCACUGUGUUUUGGCUUCUGACGCAAACCCCC